AGGGCUUGACAUCUGACGAACUUCUGUGAAAGCAGGAGGUGCUCUUCGGAGAGCGUCAAGACAGGUGGUGCACGGUUGUCGUCAGCUCGUGUCGUGAGAUGUUGGGUUAAGUCCCGCAACGAGCGCAACCCUCGUCGUUAGUUGGUCAUAUCGGUAUACUGAUAUGUAUCUCUCUAGCGAGACUGCCGGUGAUAAACCGGAGGAAGGUGAGGACGACGUCAAAUCAUCAUGCCCCUUAUGUCCUGGGCUACACACGUGUUACAAUGGCUGGUACAACGAGCAGCAAACUCGCGAGGGCAAGCAAAUCUCUUAAACCCAGUCUCAGUUCGGAUUGCACUCUGCAACUCGAGUGCAUGAAGUCGGAAUCGCUAGUAAACGCAGAUCAGCACGCUGCGUUGAAUACGUUCCCGGGUC
rnacentral:rRNA from 1 species